GAGGGAAAGGCGAAAAGAACCCCGGCGAGGGGAGUGAAAAAGAACCUGAAACCGUGUACGUACAAGCAGUAGGAGCCCCAUCACUCAAGUGCCUCGCACUGAGUGAUGCAAGAACAUCACCGAAAAUAGCGCCGAAUUUGCUAACAAGGUUGGUCGAUUUUUUCAAGCCGUCGCGCAGUGUACCUAGAAGUACACGAGCAACGGAAGUUAAAAAAUCGGGCAAGAUUGAACGCAAAGGCAAGCGGGACAUUUGAGGAUGGGGUGACUGCGUACCUUUUGUAUAAUGGGUCAGCGACUUAUAUUCUGUAGCGAGGUUAACCGUAUAGGGGAGCC
rnacentral:rRNA from 1 species